GAUCACAUCAUAUCUGUGAAGAGCCCCUUCGUCUCUCGUCUCUCUCUCUCUCUCUCUCCCUAUUUGGCUGCUUUGGAGUUAAGAUGGACGCGCCGAGCGCGCAGGAGAUGUCGUACAUGGAGCACGUCCAGAGACGCCACGAGGAGAAGGGCUUCCUCUACGCCUGUUUAUUCGCCUUCUGUUGCUGCUUCUGCUGCUUUGAGGCCUGCGAGUGCUGCCUCGAGUGCCUCUGCUGCUGCUUCUGAUCAGUACCGAUCAUGUCGAUCGGGCAUGAUACGUAGUAGUAUGUUGAAUAAAGCUGCUUGAUAUGCUACUUGUGAACUCUUCUCGAGUUCCUUACAUGUUUGUAUCGUGAUUUGUGUAUCUGUAAGUGGGUACUGUUGGAUUUGUUUGGUAGGACUAUCGAUGUUGCUUGAUGGUUCAUCAGAUGUUAAUCUUACAAGUUGGUCUCAUGUUGAUGAA